UGCCCAAUAGUUUUAGUGAUCCACAACACAUAACAUAUAUGCAAAGUUGCAUAACAAAUUUCAUGAUCCAUAUAUCAAAAUUCCAUAGCAUCCGUACAUCCAAAAUUCCAUAGCAUCCGUAUAUACAUAUAGUUCCGUAGCAUCCAUACAUACAUAGCUCCAUAGCAAAUAUAAUACACAACGAUACUUUGCGAGCAUUACUAAGUAAUAUUUGGCACUAAAACAAAUGCCUUCAUGUCCAUAUCGUAGUCCAAAGAGCAUCCGCAUGGCAACCUACAAGAUGAAAUCAUCAACAUGUCAAAUUUAACACUCUAAAUCAUGAAGAUCUUCAAGAAUGGUCUCUAAUUAUAAAUUUGAUCUUCAAAUGGUUCAAAUGAUCUCUACUUACA
rnacentral:lncRNA from 1 species